rnacentral:rRNA from 1 species
AUGGGGUCGUCGUUUAAGUCGGAGUGGGGGCCGGCGAUCUGCAUGGUGCUCAUCGAGCUGUUCACCACUGGGCAGCUGCUGCUCACCAAGGUGGUGGUCGACGCCGGCCUCAUGGUCUUCGCCCUCCUCACCUACCGCUUCUUCCUCGGCGCCGCCCUCGUUGUCCCUCUCGCCCUCAUCCUUGAGCCGAUCUAUUUCACGAGUCUUCCAUGGCCACAACGCAACCUUGGGCGCCCGCCUUAUAAGUAG